GACGAACGCUGGCGGCGUGCUUAACACAUGCAAGUCGAACGGAAAGGCCCUGCUUUUGUGGGGUGCUCGAGUGGCGAACGGGUGAGUAACACGUGAGUAACCUGCCCUUGACUUUGGGAUAACUUCAGGAAACUGGGGCUAAUACCGGAUAGGAGCUCCUGCUGCAUGGUGGGGGUUGGAAAGUUUCGGCGGUUGGGGAUGGACUCGCGGCUUAUCAGCUUGUUGGUGGGGUAGUGGCUUACCAAGGCUUUGACGGGUAGCCGGCCUGAGAGGGUGACCGGCCACAUUGGGACUGAGAUACGGCACAGACUCCUACGGGAGGCAGAAGUGGGGAAUAGUGCACAAUGGGCGGAAGCCUGAUGCAGCAAAGCAGCGUGCGGGAUGACGGCCUGCGGGUUGUAAACCGCUUUCGCCUGUGACGAAGCGUGAGUGACGGUAAUGGGUAAAGAAGCACCGGCUAACUACGUG
rnacentral:rRNA from 1 species